rnacentral:tRNA from 1 species
AUUUUUGUAGUUGAAUUACAACGGUGGUUUUUCAGAUCACUGGUUCUGGUUUUAAGCCGGACAGGAAUA